GUUGUAUGGUUAAGUGACUAAGCGUACACGGUGGAUGCCUUGGCAGUCAGAGGCGAUGAAAGACGUAGUAACUUGCGAUAAGCCCAGAUUAGGUAGUAACAACCAUUUGAGUCUGGGAUUUCUGAAUGGGGAAACCCACGUGCAUAAGCACGUAUCCUUACCUGAAUACAUAGGGUAAGGAGGCGAACCGGGGRAACUGAAACAUCUAAGUACCCCGAGGAAAAGAAAUCAACCGAGAUUCCGAAAGUAGCGGCGAGCGAAAUUGGACUAGCCCUUAAGCUUUACACGYGUUAGACGAACGGUCUGGAAAGUCCGACGAUACAGGGUGAUAGUCCCGUAGUUGACGACGUGUGUUCAGUGAAAUCGAGUAGGGCGGGACACGUGAUAUCCUGUCUGAAUAUGGGGGGACCAUCCUCCAAGGCUAAAUACUACUGACUGACCGAUAGUGAACCAGUACCGUGAGGGAAAGGCGAAAAGAACCCCUGUGAGGGGAGUGAAAUAGAACCUGAAACCGUGUACGUACAAGCAGUAGGAGCAGGCUUUGUCCUGUGACUGCGUACCUUUUGUAUAAUGGGUCAGCGACUUAUAUUCAGUGGCAAGGUUAACCAUCUAGGGGAGCCGUAGGGAAACCGAGUCUUAACUGGGCGUUCAGUCUCUGGAUAUAGACCCGAAACCAGGUGAUCUAGCCAUGGGCAGGUUGAAGGUUGAGUAACAUCAACUGGAGGACCGAACCGAC
rnacentral:rRNA from 1 species